rnacentral:rRNA from 1 species
GCUGGCGGCGGCCUAACACAUGCAAGUCGAGCGGUAACAGAAAGUAGCUUGCUACUUUGCUGACGAGCGGCGGACGGGUGAGUAAUGCUUGGGAACAUGCCUUGAGGUGGGGGACAACAGUUGGAAACGACUGCUAAUACCGCAUAACGUCUACGGACCAAAGGGGGCUUCGGCUCUCGCCUUUAGAUUGGCCCAAGUGGGAUUAGCUAGUUGGUGAGGUAAUGGCUCACCAAGGCGACGAUCCCUAGCUGGUUUGAGAGGAUGAUCAGCCACACUGGGACUGAGACACGGCCCAGACUCCUACGGGAGGCAGCAGUGGGGAAUAUUGCACAAUGGGCGCAAGCCUGAUGCAGCCAUGCCGCGUGUGUGAAGAAGGCCUUCGGGUUGUAAAGCACUUUCAGUCAGGAGGAAAGGUUAGUAGUUAAUACCUGCUAGCUGUGACGUUACUGACAGAAGAAGCACCGGCUAACUCCGUGCCAGCAGCCGCGGUAAUACGGAGGGUGCGAGCGUUAAUCGGAAUUACUGGGCGUAAAGCGUACGCAGGCGGUUUGUUAAGCGAGAUGUGAAAGCCCCGGGCUCAACCUGGGAACUGCAUUUCGAACUGGCAAACUAGAGUGUGAUAGAGGGUGGUAGAAUUUCAGGUGUAGCGGUGAAAUGCGUAGAGAUCUGAAGGAAUACCGAUGGCGAAGGCAGCCACCUGGGUCAACACUGACGCUCAUGUACGAAAGCGUGGG